rnacentral:misc_RNA from 1 species
CUCAUGUUUGAUGACGUUCUUAAAAAUUUUAGUCCAGAUCUACCCAGUGGUAUCUUGGGCCGUCCAAGGCAGGAAGACGCACAAGAAUUUUUAAGUUUUGUCAUGGAUCGGAUGCAUGCUGAAUUGCUGAAGCUUGAUGGAACGUCUUCGAGUACCAAUGGGGGUAAAUCUUUUGUAGUUGCUUCUGCAGAAGAUGAUGAAUGGGAGACAGUUGGG